rnacentral:lncRNA from 1 species
ACAAGUCUUGGCAAAAGUGCCCCGGGCCGGGAGCGGGUGUCCCGCGUCGCCUCAAUUCGCCCGCUACCACACACGCCUCCGGCCCUCCGCCCUGAAUUGCUUUCGGUUUCUGAGGAGCCGGGACGGUCAGCUCACCCGGACUUCGCCACUUGCGGGGUUCGCAGAGCUCCGCUGGCGCCCUACGGUGGCGGGCCCUAGGCUGCUUCGUCUCUGCAGAAGGUUCACAGUAAUUGCAGCCUGUAUGAACGAAGUGAACUAGCAUCUCAAAUCUAACCUCUUCCAAGUCAGACAAACGCGGGAACUUAGCUGUCUUGAGCUUCAAAUGUCCAUCACGGAGAGAAGAGAGUACCAGGGUCCUUGCAGUGGACGCUACAGUGGAAAGUCUGCUCAUCAGGUGGAACUUGUAAAGGAUGGUACGGCAAGUAGCAAUGCCCAGUAGAAAGCAAACCUCUGAUGGUGGUGUGCAUAGAAGACUUGUUGGCUUACCAAGUGUGUUGCACCAGCACCUUGUUUGUAAAGAAAAUUGCAACACAUCCCUCAGAUACAGCACUUAAGCCACAGAUACUGAACAUCUGAACAGAUGCUGGUGCUGAACAACUUGACUGACAUCUCCCACAGACUGUACUGAAGGUCUACUGAUGAGAGACAAGACAAUGAAAGCUGUCACAGUAUAAUAUGCACGUACACAAGACAAGUGCUUUCAAAAAUGCUAUAGACAGUUUAAGAUACAUAACCGUCUUCCAUGGCUUUUAAAGUAAAAAUAAGUAUAAAUUCUUUAAUAUUAUUUUUAGAUCAGUUACAUUUUAUACGGGGCAUAAACUAUUAAGGUGAUCUGAUGAGAAAAAAAAAAGGGGCCUUUUCUGCAAGCCAAUUUCAAUUACAUCAGAAUAGAGGGUCCUUUUGAAGGAAAAGCUGAAAAUUAAAAUUGACCUAUGGGCUGGAAAGCCCAUAAAGGGACUAUUUUUCCAGUACUUAAGGAAACAUGACCCCUUUGAUGUGGGCAGCCUGGGCCCUAGCAACUGUCCCUCUACAGCAAGCCAUGCUUCCUAUAUGAAGUCAUUCUAUCAAAGCUGUCAGUAAAACGCUGUUGAAACUCCGCUAUUGUAAAAUAUUCUUUGUGGGUGCUAAUGAUUUUGCAUUGGAAUAAAAAGGCCUUAAGUCUCUGUUUUCUUC